rnacentral:siRNA from 1 species
ACCUCACGAUGACGCUCUCGUUAU